GUCUCCGUGGCGCAAUUGGUUAGCGCGUCUGACUGUUAUGCAACAACAUCUGAAUUGGCCUUACCAGCCAACAGGUGGCAUACACAUAUAUCAGGAGGUUGGAAGUUCGAGCCUUCCCGGGGACG
rfam:Exophiala dermatitidis NIH/TT8656 unplaced genomic scaffold supercont1.7, whole genome shotgun sequence.